CCCUUUACUUUUAUUGUAAUCUUGUAGUAGUUUGUGUUCUUGUAACCGUUUCUAUCUCUUGUUAGUAAAAUCGUGUGGUGUUCCUAUCUUGUUAUUGUUGUCCAUCUCGCCAUAUUGUUGCUGUUUUGGUGUAUUUACACCUUCAAUAUCUUGUUGUUAUUGUGUUUUCAUUGUUGUUGUAGUGAAUCCGAGAGUGGUCACCAAAG
rnacentral:lncRNA from 1 species